rnacentral:rRNA from 1 species
AUUGAACGCUGGCGGAAUGCUUUACACAUGCAAGUCGAACGGCAGCACGGGGCAACCUGGUGGCGAGUGGCGAACGGGUGAGUAAUACAUCGGAACGUGCCCAAUCGUGGGGGAUAACGUAGCGAAAGUUACGCUAAUACCGCAUACGAUCUACGGAUGAAAGCGGGGGAUCGCAAGACCUCGCGCGAAUGGAGCGGCCGAUGUCAGAUUAGGUAGUUGGUGGGGUAAAGGCUCACCAAGCCAACGAUCUGUAGCUGGUCUGAGAGGACGACCAGCCACACUGGAACUGAGACACGGUCCAGACUCCUACGGGAGGCAGCAGUGGGGAAUUUUGGGACAAUGGGCGCAAGCCUGAUCCAGCCAUUCCGCGUGCAGGAUGAAGGCCUCGGUUGGUAAC